rnacentral:lncRNA from 1 species
GGCAACUAAUUUUCCACUCGUCAAAAGAGUCAUCAUGACGCUAGAAUCCUUGAGAAUCUGGAGAGAAGGAGGCUCUACGUAAUGAUGAUGAAGGAGAAAUGCAGUUGCAGCAACGUACCUGGUCAUCAGCUCCAGAGGGUCGAGACUUGAGGGUUCAGUUGUUCCGUGUUCAGUAUCAACACGACGGACGAAACUCAGAUGCG